rnacentral:tRNA from 1 species
GCCCCUAGCUCGGCUCAUCGAGCGCCCAACCCAGGGGACUCAAAAUCCCCCGCUGCAAGGCGUGCCGGGUCGAUUCCGGUUCGGGGCACCA